ACUCAAAUGAAUUGACGGGGGCCCGCACAAGCGGUGGAGCAUGUGGUUUAAUUCGACGCAACGCGAAGAACCUUACCUGGGUUAGACAACGGUGGACCGCUUCAGAGAUGAAGCUUUCCCUUCGGGGACUGCCGGUUCAGGUGCUGCAUGGCUGUCGUCAGCUCGUGUCGUGAGAUGUUGGGUUAAGUCCCGCAACGAGCGCAACCCUUGUCUCUAGUUGCCAGCAUUUAGUUGGGCACUCUAGAGAGACUGCCGGCGUUAAGCCGGAGGAAGGUGGGGAUGACGUCAAGUCCUCAUGGCCCUUAUGCCCAGGGCUACACACGUGCUACAAUGGUCGGUACAGAGGGAUGCGAAGCCGCAAGGUGAAGCCAAUCCCACAAAGCCGGCCUCAGUUCGGAUUGGAGUCUGCAACUCGACUCCAUGAAGGUGGAAUCGCUAGUAAUCGCGGAUCAGCACGCCGCGGUGAAUACGUUCCCGGGCCUUGUACACACCGCCCGU
rnacentral:rRNA from 1 species